UACGUAGGUGGCAAGCGUUGUCCGGAUUUAUUGGGUUUAAAGGGUGCGUAGGCGGUCUAUUAAGUCAGUUGUGAAAUACGGCAGCUCAACUGUCGAGGUGCAAUUGAUACUGAUGGACUUGAGUACUGAUGAGGUAAGCGGAAUGGACGGUGUAGCGGUGAAAUGCUUAGAUAUCGUCCAGAACACCGGUGGCGAAGGCGGCUCUCUGGGCCUUACCUGACGCUGAGGAGCGAAAGCGUGGGUAGCGAACAGG
rnacentral:rRNA from 1 species